AUGAGAGUAAUUACCCCCACGAACCUAUUUUGUUGCAUAACACACCUCAAUUUCUGAUUUAUUUUCUUCCUCCUUCAGCACUGAUUUGGAGUAUGCUACUUACCAUUGGCUUCAGCAAUACCGACUUUCAACCUGCAUUGAUGGUGUCUGCAUGUGAGGAAUGAGCAUCACCUAGGAAUCCUGGAUUUUGAACAUUUUCAAAUUAAUUGAUUACUUUUGCGUUUAAUUCCUGGCUUAAUGACUGUGUGUUCCCACAGGAUCAAAUACCAUCAUCCAGAGUUAAACUUAGGAGGGAUGAAGUCAGGAUCAGAGUCAUUUUGUUCCUGUUUGUAGUCCUGUUGCCUGGGACAGGAGUUACACUCAAGAAGUGUUUUCUUCGAAUGAAUCAACUGAGAUAAGGUGGGUAGGCAGCACCAGUUGUACAUUCAACUAAAGCAGGUGAUAUUUAACGUUUUAUGGACAAAGUCUUUAUUAGCUGUAAG
rnacentral:lncRNA from 1 species